rnacentral:lncRNA from 1 species
UGCGCCCUCUUAUUCUUCACACGAUAAAAAUUUUUUACGUAAAUUUUUCUCAUGCCUAGAAGCUUUUCCAUCUCCAUAUCUAAUUUUUUUGAAUUAAAAAUUGGUUAAUUUAAAUUUGAGUUCAAAUAGGUUUGGGUUUGAAUUUGAAUGAAAAUCUGGAGUCCAAAUUGAGUUAGACUCUUCUCUUCACGCCAUCACCUUUCUCCACGCAUAAAGUAUCUUUGCAUGAGAUUUUUUGUAC